rnacentral:rRNA from 1 species
UACGGAGGGUGCAAGCGUUAUCCGGAUUCACUGGGUUUAAAGGGUGCGUAGGUGGCUUUGUAAGUCAGUGGUGAAAUCUUGGAGCUUAACUCCGAAACUGCCAUUGAUACUGCUUAGCUUGAAUCAAGUAGAGGUGGAUGGAAUAUUACAUGUAGCGGUGAAAUGCUUAGAUAUGUAAUAGAACACCGAUUGCGAAGGCAGUUCACUAUGCUUGUAUUGACACUGAGGCACGAAAGCGUGGGGAUCAAACAGG